GACGAACGCUGGCGGCGCGCUUAACACAUGCAAGUCGAACGGAAAGGCCUGCUUUCCCUUGUGGAUUGCGGGUACUCGAGUGGCGAACGGGUGAGUAACACGUGAGUGAUCUGCCCCCAACUUGGGUAUAAGCCUGGGAAACUGGGUCUAAUUCCCGAUAGGACUGCAGGGUGGUGCCUGUGGUGGAAAACGAUUUUCUAGUGGUUGGGGAUGAGCUCGCGGCCUAUCAGCUUGUUGGUGGGGUAAUGGCCUACCAAGGCGGCGACGGGUAGCCGGCCUGAGAGGGUGGACGGCCACAGUGGGACUGAGAUACGGCCCAGGCUCCUACGGGAGGCAGCAGUGGGGAAGAUUGCACGAGGGGCGGAAGCCUGAUGCAGCGACGCCGCGUGGGGGAUGACGGCCUUCGGGUUGUAAACUCCUUUCGACCGCGAGGAAGCCACCUGGUUGGAAGGGUGGUGACGGUAGUGGCAGAAGAAGCACCGGCUAACUACGUG
rnacentral:rRNA from 1 species